UGUUCUGUAGCUUAGUACUUAGGUUAAAGCGCCGGACUAGCAAUAAAGGAGUCGUGGGUUCAAAUCCCACCAAAACAA
rnacentral:tRNA from 1 species